ensembl:lncRNA
CCAGAGGCACGUCUCAGUGGGGUUGGCACUCUUGGUCUGAUGCUGAAGAGGCCCAAACACAAAUAACUCAUGCUCAGGGGCUCUGUGGGAAGCUCCAGGGGAGACAAGCUGUCCCCAGUGCCUUGGACAUGGUGCUCCCAUGGAGGGCAAAUAUCUGCCAGAAAGUUGGUCCCCUCACUGAACUCGGCUGUAUAUAGACUCGCACUGUCACCCUGAAUGUGUUUCUCUUUUUGGUUGUGCAGCUUCUGGGGAAAAUAACCAAAUACAUCUAUUGGGUCAGAAGCCAAAGGCUAUUCACUGUGGCAUGGAGUAAACGGUUACUGUGGAUGUGCAUGUUUCUUCAUUAAGUAAUUAAUGGCAAGGCAGAGAAGAAAGAAGAGGAGAGUCCCACGUGGAUAACUGACAGGCCAGGGAGAAAGGUUUUGGCCCCUAGCAUGGCAGUGAAAGCAGAAUGACCUGCAAGCGUGACUUUGGUCUUCACUUGGUUGACUGCACGAGUGAAUGAUCCUGUUUCUGCUGGAACCAAGAGCAGAAUUCACCUUAAUGCAAGAAGAGAUUACUUUUGUGGAUGGUUCGAAUUUCUCAUCAUUAUUGUCACCUUCACUAUUAUUAUUUAUGACCUAUUUAUGAAGACCAGGCCUUUCCACACCAAACAGUCCCUACAUGUUCUGCUCUGUGCUGUCCCUGGACUAUGAGGAGCAGUGAGCUGUGGAUGGAUAUGGCACCAUCACCACCAAAUCUGCAGAAGUGGACAGUACUUCUUUAUGUUGGGCCAGCAUUUUGCUGGCCAAAUACCUUUACUGUUGCAGAUGCAACGACUUCACAUAAACAGGAAAAUGUGACGCUCUGCCAUCAGGGCUCAGAUAUUCCUGGCCUGGUUCUUCUGCACAGAAACCACAGGUACAGUGUCUUGCCUAGGAGUGGAGGCAGAGGUGUGGAGUAUCUACUGGGAUGGGAUCUGGAUUACUUUGCCAUAAAAUACACCUGUAAGGUCUCCCACACCAAGCAGUUCACUGUAGCAUCACUGAUCAGCCAGACCAGGCUGCCUUUUUGGAGGAAAUAUGCCUUAGGUAAAAUCUGUUCACAGGGCAAACCACUUAUUUACACUGCAAGAGGCAUUUCUUCUGCAGUUCUCCACAUCUGGACCUCCCACUAGGAGACAGCUGAAUGUUUGAAAUGCUUUGGGAAACAGAAGGGAGUAAACAAUAUGUAUUAUUUAACACACUGAAAAUAGAAUCAAAGUAAGUAAGUCUUGAAUACUGCUCUGCUUGCAUAUUUUUUACUUAACGAAGUUUAAUUCUUUAUAAAACUGCUCAUAUUGGUCUGGGAAAAAAAAAAAAAAAGAAAUCAUAUGCCUCGCACAGAUAGGAUAAUGGUAGCAUUGAUCAAACCUGGUAAAUGCACUUAGAAGUUCACAAGCAAUGGUUUCUUGAUCUGUUCCAAGUGUAAUUUUUUGCACAAAGCGUGAGCAAUGUUCAUCUGCAAACAAGUAUUAUAUAUUUCCUGGGGAAUUAACAUCAAAUGCAAAAGCAUUGCCCACUGGAGAUAACUGCUGUCACUGACAUGUAAGCAGUGGGGUUAGAGUUAGGAUUACCGUUAGGGUUAUUUUUGUUAGCUACGUCCAGACACCAAGGGUUGACAAGACCAUAUGCAAAUCACAAAUGCAUUGAUCAGUUUAGAAAACAAGGUG